ACAAACGCUGGCGGCGUGCAUAACACAUGCAAGUCGAACGAGAGUAGUGAUACUCGAGUGGCGGACGGGUGAGGAACACGUGGAUAACCAACCCUCGGCUGGGGAAUACCGCUCGGAAACGAGCGCUAAUACCGCAUGAGUUCGAGAGAAGAAAGCCUUCGGGCGGCGGAGGAUGGGUCUGCGUUCGAUUAGCUAGUAGGUGGGGUAAUGGCCUACCUAGGCGACGAUCAGUAGCUGGUCUGAGAGGACGACCAGCCACACUGGGACUGAGACACGGCCCAGACUCCUACGGGAGGCAGCAGUGGGGAAUUUUGGACAAUGGGCGCAAGCCUGAUCCAGCAAUGCCGCGUGAGUGAAGAAGGCCUUCGGGUUGUAAAGCUCUUUUGUCAGGGAAGAAAAGGCGGAGGCUAAUAUCCUCCGCUCAUGACGGUACCUGAAGAAUAAGCACCGGCUAACUACGUGCCAGCAGCCGCGGUAAUACGUAGGGUGCGAGCGUUAAUCGGAAUUACUGGGCGUAAAGCGUGCGCAGGCGGUUGUGCAAGACAGAUGUGAAAUCCCCGGGCUCAACCUGGGAAUCGCAUUUGUGACUGCACGGCUAGAGUGUGUCAGAGGGGGGUAGAAUUCCACGUGUAGCAGUGAAAUGCGUAGAGAUGUGGAGGAAUACCGAUGGCGAAGGCAGCCCCCUGGGAUAACACUGACGCUCAUGCACGAAAGCGUGGGGAGCAAACAGGAUUAGAUACCCUGGUAGUCCACGCCCUAAACGAUGUCAACUAGUUGUCGGGUCUUAAUUGACUUGGUAACGCAGCUAACGCGUGAAGUUGACCGCCUGGGGAGUACGGUCGCAAGAUUAAAACUCAAAGGAAUUGACGGGGACCCGCACAAGCGGUGGAUGAUGUGGAUUAGUUCGAUGCAACGCGAAAAACCUUACCUACCCUUGACGUGGCAGGAAUCCCGGAGAGAUCCGGGAGUGCCCGAAAGGGAACCUGCACACAGGUGCUGCAUGGCUGUCGUCAGCUCGUGUCGUGAGAUGUUGGGUUAAGUCCCGCAACGAGCGCAACCCUUGUCAUUAGUUGCUACGAAAGGGCACUCUAAUGAGACUGCCGGUGACAAACCGGAGGAAGGUGGGGAUGACGUCAAGUCUUCAUGGCCCUUAUGGGUAGGGCUUCACACGUCAUACAAUGGUACAUACAGAGGGCCGCCAACCCGCGAGGGGGAGCUAAUCCCAGAAAGUGUAUCGUAGUCCGGAUUGCAGUCUGCAACUCGACUGCAUGAAGUUGGAAUCGCUAGUAAUCGCGGAUCGGCAUGUCGCGGUGAAUACGUUCCCGGGUCUUGUACACACCGCCCGUCACACCAUGGGAGCGGGUUUUACCAGAAGUGGGUAGCUUAACCGCAAGGAGAGCGCUCACCACGGUAGGAUUCGUGACUGGGGUG
rnacentral:rRNA from 1 species